rnacentral:rRNA from 1 species
CCCUUAGAUGUUCUGGGCCGCACGCGCACUACACUGAUGCAUUCAACGAGUCUAAAACCUGCUCUGAUAGGGGUGGGUAAUCUUUUGAAUGUGCAUCGUGAUUGGGAUAGAUGAUUGCAAUUUUUCAUCUUCAACGAGGAAUGCCUAGUAAACGCAAGUCAUCAGCUUGCAUUGAUUACGUCCCUGCCCUUUGUACACACCGCCCGUCGCUCCUACCGAUUGAAUGAUCCGAUGAAUAUCAUGGAUUGAGGAUGUAAGCAGGUUCGCCUGUCUUCAUCUUCGAGAAGUGAAGUAAAUCUUAUCAUUUAGAGGAAGGAGAAGUCGUAACA